rfam:Rattus norvegicus chromosome 13, whole genome shotgun sequence.
GACCUUGUGGCUCAAUGGUAGCGCAUCUGACUCCAGAUCAGGAGGUUGCACGUUCAAAUCAUGCCGGGGUCA